AAUCUACGUUUCUCCGUACGCGUUACCUGCAAGCAACGAAGAAACGAGAGAGAGAGAGAGAGAGAGAGAGAGAGAGAGAGAGAGAAGGAACGCAAGACAUCUGCCAAAAUCUCGAGACGGUUCUUUUUUGAGUUUCGUCGAUGACUUCACUGAGCUCUCUCAAAUACUCGUUCGUUGCAUACUCACCAAAAAGGAAAAGGAAAGAGAGACGAACUUUCUCAAUGUUUCAUCGAGUAGCUCCACGAUGGAAGAGAAUCCAAUCGAGUUAUUAUCGUACAACGAAAUCAAUGGAAUCGUACGAGAUGCUUUUGGAUUCUAUGCCAAAGAAAGGAAUUUUGUAUAAAGAGGCAUCUCGAGAAGGAGCUGCUCCAUCUUUCCCAACAAUUUCGAUGUCAUUGGCUGUCACAAUU